CUCCUCAUUCAUUUUCAAAACACUGCACUAUGGUUAUAUUGUGAUAUUUGUGAUUUUGCUCAGUGCGUUUUGCAGCUAUGGCUUCCAAACGCAAAGUGGAGGUGGCCGUCCCGGCAGAGGAGAGUGACCAGCUUCAUAUUCGUCCGCUGGGUGCUGGGCAGGAGGUUGGGAGGUCUUGUAUUAUCCUGGAGUUCAAAGGAAGGAAAAUUAUGCUGGACUGUGGCAUUCACCCUGGCUUGGAGGGAAUGGAUGCCCUCCCCUACAUAGACUUGAUCGACCCAGCGGAGAUUGACCUGCUGCUCAUCAGCCACUUCCACCUUGAUCACUGUGGGGCUCUGCCUUGGUUCCUCCAGAAGACCAGCUUCAAAGGCAGAACCUUCAUGACCCAUGCCACCAAGGCCAUAUACCGCUGGCUCCUGUCGGACUACGUCAAAGUCAGCAACAUUUCUGCAGACGACAUGCUAUACACUGAAACGGACCUGGAGGAGAGCAUGGAUAAGAUUGAGACAAUUAACUUUCAUGAGGUCAAGGAGGUGGCAGGGAUCAAGUUCUGGUGCUACCACGCCGGCCAUGUACUGGGGGCUGCCAUGUUUAUGAUUGAAAUAGCCGGGGUCAAGUUGCUGUACACAGGAGACUUCUCACGCCAGGAAGACAGGCACCUCAUGGCGGCUGAGAUUCCCAGCGUCAAACCGGACAUCUUAAUUAUUGAAUCCACAUACGGCACGCACAUCCAUGAGAAGCGCGAGGAGCGCGAGGCUCGCUUUUGUAACACGGUCCACGACAUUGUCAACAGAGAGGGUCGCUGUUUGAUUCCCGUUUUCGCUUUGGGGCGAGCCCAGGAACUGCUGCUCAUCCUGGACGAGUACUGGCAGAACCACCCGGAGCUCCACGACAUCCCCAUCUACUAUGCCUCGUCCUUGGCCAAGAAGUGCAUGGCCGUGUACCAGACCUACGUCAACGCCAUGAAUGACAAGAUCCGCAAGGCCAUCAACAUUAACAACCCUUUUGUCUUCAAGCACAUCAGCAACCUCAAGAGCAUGGACCACUUUGACGACAUUGGCCCUAGUGUGGUGAUGGCGUCCCCUGGCAUGAUGCAGAGUGGCCUCUCCAGGGAGCUCUUUGAAAGCUGGUGCACGGACAAGAGGAAUGGAGUCAUCAUCGCUGGAUACUGUGUAGAGGGAACACUUGCCAAGCACAUCAUGUCCGAGCCAGAGGAGAUCACCACCAUGUCGGGACAGAAGCUACAGUUGAAAAUGUCGGUGGACUACAUCUCCUUCUCGGCCCACACAGACUACCAGCAGACCAGCGAGUUCAUCCGCGCUCUCAAACCCCCACACGUGAUCUUGGUCCACGGCGAGCAGAACGAGAUGGGACGUCUGAAGGCGGCGCUGAUCCGAGAGUACGAGGACAACGACGAGGUUCACAUCGAAGUUCACAACCCGCGCAACACAGAGUCUGUCACCCUCAACUUCAGAGGAGAGAAACUGGCCAAGGUGAUGGGCUCUCUAGCGGAUCAGAAGUGUGUUCAGGGUCAGAGGGUGUCAGGUAUCCUGGUGAAGAAGAACUUCAACUACCACAUCCUCAACCCCUCAGACCUUUCACUGUAUACAGAGCUGUCCAUGAGCACAGUGAAGCAGACCCAAGCCAUCCCUUUCACUGGACCAUAUUCGCUGCUCGUCUGCCACCUUAGGAACCUCACAGGUGAUGUGGAGGAGCUGGACGGGACAGAAAAGAAAACCCUGAGGAUCUUCCAAAACAUCACUCUGAUCCACGAAGUCGGCAUGGUUGUGCUGGAGUGGAUCGCUAACCCUCUCAACGACAUGUACGCCGAUGCCGUCACCACUGUGGUGCUGGAGGUCCAGUCCAAUCCAAAGGCUCAAAAAGUCAUGGAGACCCAGAGUUCCAUUUUGGACAUGGACGUCUUUCAAAGCCGACUAGAAGUCAUGUUACAGGACAUGUUUGGCCAGGACUACGUGGACAUCAGUGAUGGCCAAAACAUCUCAGUGACGGUCGAUGGCAAGACGGUGAACAUUUGCUUGGAAACACGGUCGGUGAGCUACGAGGACGAGAGCACAGAGGACGAUUCCCUGAGGGAGCUGGUGGAGCAGGCUGUGCUGCGCCUCUUUGACGCCCUCAACCCCAUCACAUCACUCACGCCAUCAGUUACGUUUUAAAAGGAUGUAACCAAAGGCCCGGUAUACGCAUGAGGAUUUUUUUAAAAUCUUAACCGAUUUUUUUAUCUGCCUACAGUACUGCCACACAUAAUGACAAAAACAAAAUCAAGCAUUCAGUAGUUUUAGUCGUAUUGUGUUUGGUGUGCUCCGAUAAUUGCAGUACACAAACAUCAUCAUACACAUACACAUAAAGGCUUUGUUCUGCCGCCAAUCUCGAAAUCAAACACGAUCACACGUGAUCUCACAAAACCGAAGACAAGCAGGCACUUCUGGGUAUGCGCCGGUCUUUGCCGAGUGUUGCCAAAGGGAAUGGAGGCAGACGCCGUGUAGAUAAUUUAAAAGACUCGCUUUGGAAAAUACUUCUUGCUGUCUGGGGAACCCACUUUUGUACAAAAAAACGACAUCGGGUACUCAAAGCGCUUUAACACCGUCUCCUCAUUCACCUACCAAUGACACAGCAUCAGGAGCAACUGGUUCUUCAGUAUCUUGCUCAGUGAUACUUGGACAUGUUCACAGGGGCCGACGAUCAAACCCACAACCUUUGGGUUGAGAGACGAACACUCUACCACCUGAGCCGUGCCCCACCCCUCCUCCUAUUUAUAGUUAUUUAUUUAUAGUUAAUAUAUGUUGUGUUAAGUUUUUAAAAAAAUGUGCACCGACCUGAGACUUUGUGUUUUGUUCUUAAUGUAAACUGUGAAUUUGUAGUUGCACUAAAUGUUCAGUAUUUAACAUCAGAAUUGCAUCAAGGGUCAUCUUUU